GAUGAACGCUAGCUACAGGCUUAACACAUGCAAGUCGAGGGGAAACGACAUCGAAAGCUUGCUUUUGAUGGGCGUCGACCGGCGCACGGGUGAGUAACGCGUAUCCAACCUGCCCAUCACUUGGGGAUAACCUUGCGAAAGUAAGACUAAUACCCAAUGAUAUCUCUAGAAGACGUCUGAAAGAGAUUAAAGACUUAUCGGUGAUGGAUGGGGAUGCGUCUGAUUAGCUUGUUGGCGGGGUAACGGCCCACCAAGGCAACGAUCAGUAGGGGUUCUGAGAGGAAGGUCCCCCAAAUUGGAACUGAGACACGGUCCAAACUCCUACGGGAGGCAGCAGUGAGGAAUAUUGGUCAAUGGGCGAGAGCCUGAACCAGCCAAGUAGCGUGCAGGAAGACGGCCCUAUGGGUUGUAAACUGCUUUUAUAAGGGAAUAAAGUGAGAGUCGUGACUCUUUUUGUAUGUACCUUAUGAAUAAGGACCGGCUAAUUCCGUG
rnacentral:rRNA from 1 species